AAACAGAUUUUCAUAUUAGCACUGAAAAUAAAUGUUCAAAAUAAUUUAGCAAUAAAAAUACUUUGAUCACACUGUUUCUAUUAUUCUCCAUUAUGAAUGCAAUAGUAAGGCUGUCUUAAAGGAAAACAUCAGUUCUUUAUUCAAAAUAUCAUUUAUUUUUAUAUAGAGGGAAUCACCACCCCUUUCUCCACUACCAAGGUUGAAUGCUAAUCCUUUAUCACCUUGGAGACGAGUGUCUUCAAAACAUUCUGUAUAUGUUUCACCUCUGAAGAAUUCUAAUUUUCCUCCUUCUCCUAGUAGACCAUUAUCCUACAGUUUCAACAGGAGUUAUCCAAAGGAUCUUCGAGCAAUAAAUUGCAUGAUGAAAAGAGGGGAAAGAAAA